GGGGAGGAAGGACAAAUAGGCCCACCUGGCCAGGACAACAGUGAAGGGCCGAAGGGCAGUCGAGGACCAGAUGGCUCAAAGGGAACGCCCGGGCCAAGAGGACACAGGGGCCGUACGGGCCAGCGUGGGUUGGUUGGGAUCCCAGGACCCCCAGGCUUACGAGGCGUUCCUGGAAUAGCAGGCCCAGAAGGAAAGCCUGGUACAC